GCUCGCCUAGCUCAGUUGGAUAGAGCGUCGUGCUAAUAACGCGAAUGUCGCAGGUUCAAUUCCUGCGGUGAGCA
rnacentral:tRNA from 1 species